rnacentral:rRNA from 1 species
AGAACGAACGCUGGCGGCAUGCCUAACACAUGCAAGUCGAACGCGUGUAGCGAUACACGAGUGGCGGACGAGUGAGUAACGCGUGGGAACCUGCCCUGGAGUGUGGGAUAACCGAGGGAAACUUCGGCUAAUACCGCAUACGACCUGAGGGUGAAAGAUUUAUCGCUCUAGGAGGGGCCCGCGUCGGAUUAGCUAGUUGGUGGGGUAAAGGCCUACCAAGGCAGUGAUCCGUAGCUGGUCUGAGAGGAUGAUCAGCCACACUGGGACUGAGACACGGCCCAGACUCCUACGGGAGGCAGCAGUGGGGAAUAUUGGACAAUGGGGGCAACCCUGAUCCAGCAAUGCCGCGUGAGUGAUGAAGGCCUUAGGGUUGUAAAGCUCUUUCGCGCGCGACGAUGAUGACGGUAGCGCGAGAAGAAGCCCCGGCUAACUCGUGCCAGCAGCCGC